rnacentral:rRNA from 1 species
ACGGGAGGCAGCAGUGGGGAAUCUUCCGCAAUGGGCGAAAGCCUGACGGAGCAACGCCGCGUGAGUGAAGAAGGUCUUCGGAUCGUAAAGCUCUGUUGAGAGGGACGAGAGAUUACUUCCGGAAAUGGGAGUAAGCGGACGGUACCUUUCGAGGAAGCCACGGCUAACUACGUGCCAGCAGCCGCGGUAGUACGUAGGUGGCGAGCGUUGUCCGGAAUUAUUGGGCGUAAGGGGAGCGCAGGUGGGACUUCAAGUCAGUCUGAAAAGUGCGGGGCUCAACCCCGUGAUGGGAUUGAAACUGUAGUUCUUGAGUGCAGGAGAGGAAAGCGGAAUUCCUAGUGUAGCGGUGAAAUGCGUAGAUAUUAGGAGGAACACCAGUGGCGAAGGCGGCUUUCUGGACUGUAACUGACACUGAGGCUCGAAAGCGUGGGGAGCGAACAGGAUUAGAUACCCUGGUA